rnacentral:misc_RNA from 1 species
AGCAGCCGCGGUAAUUCCAGCUCCAAUAGCGUAUAUUAAAGUUGCUGCAGUUAAAAAGCUCGUAGUUGAAUUUCGGGAUCAAUAUGUUGGUCGUGCCUCGGUACGUACUAGCUUAUUGGUUUCUUCCUUCUGACGAACCAUAAUGUCAUUUAUUUGGUGUUAUGGGGAAUCAGGACUGUUACUUUGAAAAAGUUAGAGUGUUUAAAGCAGGCUCACGCUUGAAUACAUUAGCAUGGAAUAAUGAAAUAGGACGUUUGAUUCUAUUUUGUUGGUUUCUAGGAUCGACGUAAUGAUUAAUAGGGAUAGUUGGGGGCAUUAGUAUUCAAUUGUCAGAGGUGAAAUUCUUGGAUUUAUUGAAGACUAACUACUGCGAAAGCAUUUGCCAAGGAUGUUUUCAUUAAUCAAGAACGAAAGUUAGGGGAUCGAAGACGAUCAGAUACCGUCGUAGUCUUAACCAUAAACUAUGCCGACUAGGGAUCGGAUGAUGUUAAUUUUUUAAUGACUCAUUCGGCGCCUUACG